AGAGUUUCCACAGUCCUGCUGUGUUAAUAGUUGCACCAAUGGCCGGGCGCAGUGGUUAGUGAAUC
rnacentral:ncRNA from 1 species